CCAUUUUUUGUGCUUUCUUCGUCUCUCCUCCUUGUACCUUUCUCUCUCCCUCUCCCUUUCUCCUCUCCGGGGCUCAAUUCCCCAUUUCACUCCGAUCCCCGAAAAACCAGUGCUCGAGAACCAGAAGCAGAGCAAAGAUUGAGAGGUGAUUACUGCCUUUGUGGUCCAAGUGAGAAUUUUCUCGCUCGAUUUGCGAAAUAGGUGCUUUUUCUGAUCUGAAUCUGAUCGGGAUCUGGGUCUUCGAUUGGACUGAUUUUCCUGCGAUUCUUACCGUAAAGCUGUAAUCUUUUAGCAUUUUGGGGCUGAGUUGUAGAAGUAGAUCGUUUACUCUGAGAAUCGGACUGACUCGGCCGAGUUGUACUCUUUGACUCACUGAAUCUUUUGUAAUGGAGACUCUUCUGGUUGUGGCGCAGCAUAAGAACCAGUACUAUGGCCAGGGGAAGCCACACGGGCCGGGCCAAGUCGGCCCGUCGCCGUCCAAGGACUUCCGAGGGAUCAAUUGCCGGACUUUCCAAUCCGGGUCAGGUAUACUCCCAACCCCAUCCAAGGCUUGCUCUACUCCUGUAUCCAAACGGGGAGCAUGCUCUGGUUCUCCUCCUAGGAUAACUACAACUAGUCCAAACAAGAUACAUACACCUAGUCCAGUUUCACAGUCUGAUAGCAGAACAUUGAGUAGAAGCACCCCAAUUGCUAUCAAUGUCAACAACUCGAAGAAAGGCAAGCACUUCAAUGGAAGUUUUUCAUUUUCUGAGCUCUGGGCCGGCCCGGCUUACUCGAACUCUCCCCCACCGAGUUCAUUGCCAAUCCCCAAGUUUUCAAUCCGACCCAAGAGAACCGUGUCGCUCGAAUUGCCCAAGUCGCCCGCUGAUAUCGAAAUGCACCACCCAAUUGCCAAGUCUACACCCGCAUCCCCAACUAGGGAGUAUUCUGGGUCUUCUGCUAGAGAUCUCUUUCACAAUGCUGAUUCCGCGACCAAGACUCUGCGUCGCAUUCUGAAUCUUGAUGUAGACGAUGAAUGAAGGGCAGAUGGGAGCACUAGGCUCCUGUAAAUAGGUUUAGAUUGUAUAUAGAAUGAAUAAAUUGGUUGGUAGUCUUGGGUUGUGAUGAGUGUGCUUAGUUUUCUGUGGUGGUGCUACAAGUUAAAGUCAUGGUUAUGUUGGAUGUGGAGUUGGCAUUGGGGAGAUGAAUGGUUUUUCUCGAAAAAGUGGCAUGGUAUGUGUAAUAUGGGAUUUUCGACAUGGAUGGGACCCGACCCGAAAUUUUAAGGAAGCAGAAGGAAAUUGUGAUAGGCUUGUACUUUUGAAGGCUUGUUCUUUCGAAGUGGAUGGUUGUCUGCACUAUUGAAUGGGGGAGAUGAUGGCUUAUAGGGAAAAAUUGGCAUGGUAUGUGUAAUAUGGGAUUUUUGACAUGGAACUUACGGAAGCAGAGGGGAACUAGUGGCACAGGGCUUGUACUUUUGAAGCGGAUGGUUGCCAGCACUCUGGAAUGGGAGGGAUUGAGCAACCCGUCUUACAUAUGAAAGCAGAGGGAAACUACAUUGGACGUGAACGUUCCAAUGUAAUCCCCUCACAAAUUUGCUAAUUCUUGUUAACCCUUUUAGAGUUAGGUGUAGGUGUCUUCUUUCGGUAACUGUACAUGCUGUAGAAUGUCUAGUGAUCUAUCCAUACCGAACUUUGUAGGUUUCUAUAGGUUUCACUUUUCUUCUGCGUUACGUCUUUUGUUUCCUUAGGGUUUAGAUUUAGUGUCCUUCUAAAUAUUCUAACAUUGUCUAGUCUCUUUGUUCCUUAGUUCAGCGUUGUCCCAAUAGCUGCUUAGGUAAUCUUCUUUCAUUGAACACUCUUGCCUUUCCUGUUAUAGCCUUGUUUGCAUUCAUACUCAACGAAACGUUCUUUACUUCUGAUAACAAUCUAACCCCUUUAACUACACUCUUAUCAAAGGGUGUUCUCACCUUUCACAAUCUUUUCUGUUUUUAAGAAAGAAAAGAGGGAAGGGGUAGUGAUUGUUCUUUCGUACUUCUGCUUCAUUGGUUUUUCGUCUUUAGGGUUGGUCAAUCUGUGGUUCUGUCCUGUAUCUGUAUGAUGUCCUGAGUUUGGAAUUACCUAUUAGUUCAUUGUUCUUGUAAAUGAUGGUGCCGGUUGUGGUCUUCACAUCGUAUUCAUCCUUGGAGAUUGUUGAUCUCGCCUCGCCAUCGACAAGGGUGCAAGUUGGUACACAGUAUCCGGAGGUGUGUUCGUUAGCAGUUCAUGAUGUAGUCCUUUAUGCGUGUAAUAGUUCCUUGCUGAAGGCAAAUGCGGUUCCAUUACAUCAUCACUUGUGUUGAAGAAUGCAUGAUGUAUGGAAAAGCUGUUUGUCUUCCAUCGAUCCGGUGGAGCAUUGUAGUAUCGGACAUGUUUGUGGUCACCUUUUAUAUCUUGUAUUUAUGUUUCAAUGUUGAGCCUGUUCUUCUGUCGUCUAAUUUAAACUUCGAUGCUAGCUUGUUUAUCGUUAUCUUUCGUAUUCGUACGUUAAUUUUAUGGAUGUUAACAUUAUCUAUCUGUUCGAUUUAUAUGGUCUGUUCCAUUGA